rnacentral:rRNA from 1 species
UACGUAGGGGGCAAGCGUUAUCCGGAAUUAUUGGGCGUAAAGAGUGCGUAGGUGGUCACUUAAGCGCAGGGUUUAAGGCAAUGGCUCAACCAUUGUAUGCCCUGCGAACUGGGGGACUUGAGUGCAGGAGAGGAAAGUGGAAUUCCUAGUGUAGCGGUGAAAUGCGUAGAUAUUAGGAGGAAUACCAGUGGCGAAGGCGACUUUCUGGACUGCAACUGACACUGAGGCACGAAAGCGUGGGGAGCAAACAGG